rnacentral:misc_RNA from 1 species
UAGGUGUGCGCCAGCGCAACGUGUGAGAGACACACUAAAUCAGAGAGUGCCCUGGAAAAGGGGCCGCAGCAUCUACCUCCGCCUGGCUCUCCCCAUCUCCAUCACCGCGCCUUCGCCGUCCUCUUGCAUGGGGCGCUGUUGUGUUUCACUUGUGCAUAGACUACGUGUGGCUUGUGUGCAUGUGUGCAUGAGUGUACGCUGGAACGCAAAGAAAGCGAACCGCACCCCUGACCGUAGACAGCCAUCAACGUGCUCGAAGCGUUCGCCGUCGCGACCAUGAGGUCCGUUCAGUUCCCCAUGAUCCGCAGCUGUGGGCUAGUGCUCGCCUCCAUCGAGGCCUCUCCGCGCCGUGCGCUGUCGGGGCGUCCGAGCGUCGCGUCCCGUACGGCCGUGGUCGCUCUCUUGUGCAGUCGACGCUGGCACGCGGUGGCAGCGGCACCUAGCGCUGGAUAUGCCGCUCCUGCAGCUCGACGCCUUCCGACGGCGGCGGAGGCGGAAGCCGAACUCCAGGCAUGGGCCAGCAGCGCCGCAGGCUCAUCGACGCUUGCGCUCUCGGGGAAGUCGCUGGUGCUCUGUGUAGCAGCCCUGCAGCUGCAUGAAGCCGCAGCGGCGACACAAGACAGCAAGACGAGCAGCACCAGCUUUACAGAACUUGUACACCGCUACCUUGGUGCACUCGCCAUGCACAUCUACAAGCGCUUCAACGCACCGGGGAAGCCAAGCGCGGCGGCGGUGCUCUAUGCCGAUGUCGAGUCCGCCCACAUCCGAUCCGAGUCCUUGCAAGCCUCUGUGCAGUACCUCGCGCACAAGGCCUUUCAAAGCAGCGUUAGCAGCGCCUCUGUGCGUGAUGGCGCGGGUCAGGUCACAGGUGGGACGGCGGCCGAUCUUGCAGACACUCUGAGCGCCGAGCGCGACCUGGAACUUACGCUAGAGGCUACGCUGGCACUGCUCGCCGGUCACCAGAUCUCGCAGGUGCACCUCGCCGCCGUGGCAGCGAAGGAAGUCGGCACAGCUGCGACGGCGGCGGCCAUGGUGCCGCACGCCGAGUCCACCUGCCACUACAUCGGCAACGUCGUGGCCCUCAUCUCGAAACCUCUGCAAGCGCCACCGACAUCUUCCGCAGAGCCGGCAGCGGCAUUGUCGUUGCCCCCCGCAAAGCGCGAGUUCUGGGCGCACACGGCGAAGCGACUAACGUCGGUGCUGUACGUGGCGCUGCUUUCCGCGCAGUCGAACUUCACAGAUGCGCAGCUUAUCGGGCAGAUGUUCCGCGAUCUGCUGCGCAGGGUUUAUGGCGCGGAAGGCGGCACGUUCGGCAUGAGACGCUCGCUGCACUACACGCUGACGGUGGCGGUGCCGUACGUACUGAAGAGCUUCGCGAUGAUAUUGGAUGUCUUCCAGCAGCAGCAGCGCGCGGCAGCGGAGAGAGCGGCGGCUGCGAAGGCCGCGGCGGCAGCCGAGAAGGGAUUUGGCGCUAGCCCAAGGGCCCCUAGUAUAAGCACAAGCGCAUCAUCUACUGGCUCUCCACGGCCAAGGAAGGGGGUCUCCACCAAAGCACCUGGCUCUGCGGCGGCUGUGGGCCCAUCCUCAGAAAAAAUGCACCGGGCAACGCUGCUGGUGUUGUGUGUGGCAGCGAUGCUGUACAUUGGGUCUUCACGCAGCAACCUCUUUUCCGCAGCGACGCCAUCCUCCUCCUCUUCUCAACUGGCCACCGCCACGGUGGAGCCGGCGGCAGACAGAGAGGUCAUGCAAACAUACAAGAAGCUCUCCGCCAUGGCAGCGUGUGAGCCACGGCACCGCAGCUGACGUAAGCAGCCUGCUCGCACACGUACAAAGAUGCGGGGACACACCUCCACGGUAAGCAGGGGGGAGCGUGUUCUCUCUGCCGCACUCCCCUCCGACCCCGUUGCGCAUUAGAGCAGCCCUUUGGGCCCCAUCAGCGGCGCUUGCCAUUGCACAGUGAGUUGGGGGAGGCGGUGGGAUGUGGUGGAGGUGGUUGUGUCUGUGCGCGUGUGUUGCCUUUUCUCUUUGCGAUGGUUGGACGCGUGUGUAGAGAGGCUGCCGGCUGAGUCUUGAUGUGCAGCCGGGAGAGAGGAAGCGCGGUUCCGCCAGAGCGCACAGCCUCGACUCACUCCUAAUACAGCAGCAUUAACGCAUGCACUAACAAAACAAUGAAGCCGGCUCUUCCGCAACGGCGGGUGCUCUGUGUCUGUGUGUGCCUAUGCGCCCGUCUCGGUCUCGACGUAGAAGUGUAUGUGUCUGUCGGUGUGUCUUCAGCGCCACCACUGACCCGCCCACCCCCUCCUCCUCCUGCUCCUCACCGCAGGCGAGGUGAGAGGCAAAGCGGACGCAGACACAGCAAGAGAGGGCGAGCCACGCCGACGCAUGCGCGCGCGCACACCCACACACGUCGAGAGCACGUCCAUUCUCAUCCUUGUGCCGGGUAUGUAUGUGUGUGUGUGUGUGUGUGUGUGUGUGUGUGUGUGUGUGUGUGUGUGUGUGUGUGUGUGUGUGUGUGAUAACAACGACGGAGAGUUCACCGCUCUACCGCUGGCCACGAAGGCAAAAUUAAAAGGACGAAGCAAAGAAGGAAGAGAAAGAAAGAGAGGGGGAGGAGGACGGGCGCACAGUGCGAAUUACUUCGGAAACGGCAGCUCAAAUGCCGGCAGCCAGAUACCCCUCGAACGCCCCGCAAUCUCUCGAUGGUUCAUAAGGCGAAGGAUACGGCGAGAGCAGCGCCGUUGCCCGACAUUGAGCGAGGCACGUGCGAAAACUGGCUUCCGUUCACACAUCUCUCUCUCUCGCGCGUCGUCGGUGCAGUUCUGAGGCGAUGAUGCGGAUGCAAGAUUGCUCGACGCUCUUUCUCCCCAUUCCGACCGCCACCAACGUCUGCACCUCUUCUUUACUUUCUCUAUAUCCCUUGGCCCUGGAAUCUCGCCCCGACCCGCUGUGGGCCGGCCGCGUCCUACAUCGAUUGCUCAG